rnacentral:tRNA from 1 species
GGGGCUGUAGCUCAGUUGGGAGAGCGCUUGAAUGGCAUUCAAGAGGUCGAGGGUUCGAUCCCCUUCAGCUCCACCA